UACGUAGGGGGCAAGCGUUGUCCGGAAUUAUUGGGCGUAAAGAGCGCGUAGGCGGUCCGGUAAGUCCGCUGUGAAAGUCGGGGGCUCAACCCUCGAAUGCCGGUGGAUACUGUCGGGCUAGAGUCCGGAAGAGGCGAGUGGAAUUCCUGGUGUAGCGGUGAAAUGCGCAGAUAUCAGGAGGAACACCGAUGGCGAAGGCAGCUCGCUGGGACGGUACUGACGCUGAGGAGCGAAAGCCAGGGGAGCAAACGGG
rnacentral:rRNA from 1 species